UGUCUAUGUUGGCCAUUUCUUCUAUUUAUCUGCUCAAAAGGACAAAACCCACUCUUCUUCAGAAGCCCAUAUAACCAGCUCAUUACAGAAAACUUUUACAUGUUUUUAUAAUCAACUUUACAUGUUUUUAUAAGCAAAAGCAAACAUUUCAUCAAUUUGUACCAAGAAAGUGCUAGUAUGUACAGAAAAAGAAAAGGACCUUGAUUCCUUUAGAUCUGAGUAGCAAAUAAAAAAAAUACUUUGGAAAUUAGAACUGCACUUAUUACUUUUACAUAGAGGCAGGGUACUGAUUUUAGACAAAGACAAACUUCCAUGUAUCCUUUUUAACAAUAUGAACAAACAUUUAGUAUUCUAUAGCAGACAAUCAACAAGCAGCUCCUGAGUGAAAUUAGACAGAUAAGAACACCUACAUCAACUGUACAUACAAGCUAUGUUGCUCGAACUCCCCAAAAUUGUUGUCGUACUCGUAUCGGAUCCUCAAAAAGAACACUACUUUUGGAGGAUUC
rnacentral:lncRNA from 1 species